rnacentral:lncRNA from 1 species
GUCCAGCCAUUAACAUUUAUCCAGAAAUACAGUGAAUCACAAGAAGAGUGGCUCACAGAAUUUGCAUUUCAGGGAAGUGUACUAAAUUUGAAAAACUAUCCGUCACAUCCAGAUUCCUUCAAGGAGGAGAAAAAUUGGUCGUUAAAUUGGACAAAUCAAACACAGGCUACAACAGCUGGAUGAAUUUUAAGAGCAUGUGAGUGAACACAAGGUACUUUUGAGUUUUGAUGGUUAUGACUUUGUCUCAUGAGUUACACAAAUUAGUCAUGAACUCCAACAGGCCUGGGAUUUAGAUCAAAGAGUCAAAGCCCUAAAAACUAAUUCAGUGCUCUAUUAUUCUGUUUUAAACUCACCCCUUUGCUUUUUAUCUGAGCAAAUUUGUCCUCAUUACAUAUAUUCUUCAUAAUUUUGGUUAACUGGUUGUUUGAAGGCAUUGCUGAUAAAGUUAUUAGGCUUGUUGGUUUAGGAAAUUGGAUACAUCUACACUGGUUUCUCCCAGUAUUGGCAGUGAGAAAAUGUCUGGGAAACCACUAAGGGCAAGAUCAACAACUGUGAAGGAAUGGAUCAAGGCGUUGGCCCAUCAUCUAUGGCAUGUCAUUUCCCCGGUUGGGACCAUCACCUUGCUCGAGUACGAGGCCUCUUGUGGAAUAUCGUCAAAUCUCUGCCAAUGAGCCAUCUCCUUCCUAUUCAUCAACAUGUACUUCGUUGAGAGACUUGGAGAGUUGGAAAAUUGUAGCCUCUGGCAUUAGGCCAUUUUUGUCGCGAUGCAUUUGAUUUCGUCACCAUCUUUUGCGUUUGUCGCGUAGCGUUUGUGGAAGACAUCCUCGGCCGUCAUAUCGGACAAGAAAAACACGAGCAGUGCGAGCGUUUCCUCGUCGAAAAACUUUGCGUUCCGUCUCAGUGGAUUGAUAAAUGUCGGGCAGUUAAGGCGCUCUAUGCGUUUCAUCCGAAACUUCAGGCCACGUCCCUGCUUGCCGACCUUGAACUUUACAGCCAAGCACACGACGUAAUUUGUGAUGAACUUGCUCCGGAAGCUAUCCUGUCUGAAACCUAUCUGGAGUUAGAGGAACUCUUGGCUCUCUUGGCUGACCCGGAACGAUUCAGUACGAUUGCCGAUUGGUACCCAAUAGGGGCAAAGUUCAUUGGAAUUAUAUCGCAGUCGUAAAACACGUAGAUGGAAUUUAAAAGCAGGAUAAUUCCAGUGAAAAGGAAAUGCAGCUAUAGAAUCUCUGCAAGUUGGUGUCCUCUCUUCUCGUAUUCUCCACCAAGCAUAGGCUUGUUCGCGCGGAAAUAGCCCAGAAAGCGGCUUAAAUUUUUAAAAACAUUAUUGGACUCCAGUUAAAUCGGUCAGCGCAUCAGAGGAAAUUGUAGUUCACCCUCGUUCUGUCCUAAUUUCAUAACUCCGUCAGCUUCAUGCGACGCAGGAUUACUCGCUCUAAGAGCUUAACAACGUUGUUCGUGCGUACUUUCUCGAAAGUUUUGAAUGUUCAAAAGGUGCCAAGUUAAAAAGAUCCUGUAUUUUUUUCUUUUAUUUUAAAAUUGUCCUCGGGAUCGACUGUGAAUUUGCGUCUUAUACUCUUAUGUAAACUAAACAUUACUAACCCAAAUCUAGAGCAAAUGUCAUAGGUAACACUUCAACCCUCGCCUUAUCGUGUCAUAGUGGAUGUAUUAAAAAAGGACUGAAUAACGCGUGAAUAAAACUGUUAAUUUUA